rnacentral:rRNA from 1 species
UACGGGGGGGGCAAGCGUUGUUCGGAAUUACUGGGCGUAAAGGGCUCGUAGGUGGCCAACUAAGUCAGACGUGAAAUCCCUCGGCUUAACCGGGGAACUGCGUCUGAUACUGGAUGGCUUGAGGUUGGGAGAGGGAUGCGGAAUUCCAGGUGUAGCGGUGAAAUGCGUAGAUAUCUGGAGGAACACCGGUGGCGAAGGCGGCAUCCUGGACCGACACUGACGCUGAGGCGCGAAAGCUAGGGGAGCAAACGGG